UACGUAGGGUGCAAGCGUUGUCCGGAAUUAUUGGGCGUAAAGAGCUCGUAGGCGGUUUGUCGCGUCUGCUGUGAAAACUCGGGGCUUAACCCCGGGCCUGCAGUGGGUACGGGCAGACUAGAGUGCGGUAGGGGAGACUGGAAUUCCUGGUGCAGCGGUGAAAUGCGCAGAUAUCAGGAGGAACACCGGUGGCGAAGGCGGGUCUCUGGGCCGAUACUGACGCUGAGGAGCGAAAGCGUGGGGAGCGAACAGG
rnacentral:rRNA from 1 species